UGGCAGAUUAAGAGGCUAGAGAAAUAUAAUCUGAGAUGGCAAAGGCGGGCAUAGUUGCGCUUCUUUUCACGGUUCUGUUCGCCGCCACUCCUCCGGCAGGGCUCGGUGUUUCUUUCAGGCCGAAGGCGGUGCACCAGUAGUUCAAGCAGCUCCCCUAUGCGAAAGAAAAGAUCACAAAGCUCCAUUUCUACUAUCACGACAUAGUCUCCGGCAAAAACCCAACGGCCUACCAAAUUGCUCAGUCCAAUUUCACCGCCAAAUCGCCGACAGGCUUCGGAGCUCUCUCUGUAAUGGAUGACCUUUUGACGGAAACCCGCCGUUGUUGGCCAUGGUCAGGGAACCUACGGUUUCGCCGCACUCGAUGAGGUUGGGUUGCUCAUGACGCUCAACUUCUUCUUCACGCAGGGAGAGUAUAACGGUAGCACUCUCAUCGACUCCUCGAUCGGAACCCCUAUUUUAAUAAGUACCGUAAGAUGCCCAUCGUCGGCGGCACGGGUGUUUGGCUGGCGCGAGGCAUAGCCACAACGCAAACUAAUUAUUUCCCUCUCCUGAACUUACUUGCUGAUAUGUACCUCACUGACCAAACCCUAGAUGUUACCAGUAAGGAGUGAUCGUCGUUCUUGUCGAUUACUCUGAUUCAUCGUCCGGCUACAGGAAUUCCGAGUCUCAGUAAGACUUCUCUCUUCAUCAGGAAUGAAAAUGAUAAUAUGUUCCAUUGAUUUUCAUACUUCAAUUUGUUCGUACAUGCACAUUUUUCUAGUUCGCAUAUUUCUUCUCAUGCACCCUUCACUGGAAUUAGAAAGUCUUUUGCCUCUACUUCUUAACAUUGUUGAUAGGUCUUCCUCUGGAAAUGCUAACAAACAAGAAUUGAUGCAUCCUGAGUCACCAUCAUGUGCUAGUGGAAUCUCUGGAACUAAUUCUCAUUGAAGAAAAUUCGGGAUGUUAGCAUAUUUCAGAAACUUCUGCUAUUUGAUGUUUCAUUUAAUGAAAUUACAGCCACAGAAUCCUACAGUAUCCUCUUAGGAUCUUGGAAGUAGUGUUUCAGAGCCAUCAUUGAUCACAGACGAUGCACUGGACAAGUACUGAAUUAUUUUGGAGAAUGUUAAAGGCAUUGUAGUAGGCAAAGAAGAGAGUAACUGAAAAGACAGAAUAUUAAGCAUCAGAGUGCUAUAGCAACAUUCAAAUGAAAAUGCAAAUCAAUCAUGUAUAACUAUUCAACGCCAAGAUAUGCAUAUGUGAUCUGUGGGUUGAUUGGAUUGUUGCGAGAGGAGUAGAGAAACGACGUAACUCCUUCAGUUUGUAUGACUCUGGCUUCUGCAGGUUCACUGAUAUUGAUUUUAUUGAAUAUGUUCAUAUGUAUAUUUCUUUUGAGAGUGUGUGUAUGAAGUUAUAUAGAGUAGGAAUGCAUUUGAUUAGAAC